AGCGGGGUGGGGUAGCCAGGAUAUCCCGUCGGGCUCAUAUCCGGGGAACGCGAAGCGCCCGGUGCGAAACCCGGAGAUCGAUGGUUCAAAUCCAUCCCCCGCUA
rnacentral:tRNA from 1 species